rnacentral:sRNA from 1 species
GGAACAUGUCGGAGUCAGAGCUCGGCAGGAAGUGGGACCGGUGCCUGGCGGAUGCGGUCGUGAAGAUAGGUACUGGUUUUGGAUUAGGAAUUGUUUUCUCACUUACCUUCUUUAAAAGAAGAAUGUGGCCAUUAGCCUUUGGUUCCGGCAUGGGAUUAGGAAUGGCUUAUUCCAACUGUCAGCAUGAUUUCCAGGCUCCAUAUCUUCUACAUGGAAAAUAUGUCAAAAGCCUGCUCAAACCGUCAGCUGCCUGCAGCCAGCCCAUGUCUGCUGGAGAGAUGGGAGUAGGGGAGCCAUCUCUGCGCCAAAGUAAGAGUGAGGUCAUCACAGGGACCACGCAAGCAGAGGCACAGCUGCGUGGCACUGAAGCUGGCAGCCGGCCUUUUCCACCGCUCCCUGGCUCCUCGCUUUCCUGGCACCAGAGCUGAUUGUGGGGAGAACCGAAAGGAGCAGACAGAGAAGCUUCAGGAGCAGGAGCAGUGACUUCACCUGAGAACAUCCCAGCGGGAGGACAAGAGAAAUCAUGUUUAUUCCUCAGGAAUACUGAAGUGCCCUGGAGUAAGCUGCCAUUCUUCUGUAACAGCGUUAUCAGUAAUGCUUUAAACUCCAGCACCUGGUUAUGUAUUUGAAACCAAGUCUGUUUCUUGUUUUGUAUUUUCUCUCUGGAAG